UCUUCCACCACCAUCUCUUCUUCUUCUUCCUCUUCUUCAU
rnacentral:sRNA from 1 species